UCUUCUAUAUCUGUUCAAGAAUGCAUUAGAACAGCUAGUUCAAUCAACUGUAGAUGUGAUAGGCUAGAUAAUGACGACAGUAAGCCUGGUUUCAGUUGGUAUUCCGGUGACGUUGAGGUUCAACGCAAAUCACAAAUAUACACAGCGACAAAAACAACCGAUGCAGUAAACUCAACACUUGAGGACAUAUGGUGUAAGCCUAUUACUACUAAAACCGAUGGUAACCAUGAUGUAAAGGACAUUGUUAUUUAUGUACUCAUCAUAUUUGUUGUAUGCACCAUCAUCGUGAUUUUGAUUUUGUGCAUCAAAUACAAAAAAUGCAGUCAGCCAGUCGGAGACUACAAACAACCAAAAGUGAAUAUAACAAAACAGAAAUGUGUAAGG